AGCGAACGCUGGCGGCAGGCCUAACACAUGCAAGUCGAACGAAGUCUUCGGACUUAGUGGCGGACGGGUGAGUAACACGUGGGAACGUGCCUUUAGGUUCGGAAUAACUCAGGGAAACUUGUGCUAAUACCGAAUGUGCCCUUCGGGGGAAAGAUUUAUCGCCUUUAGAGCGGCCCGCGUCUGAUUAGCUAGUUGGUGAGGUAAAGGCUCACCAAGGCUACGAUCAGUAGCUGGUCUGAGAGGAUGACCAGCCACAUUGGGACUGAGGCACGGCCCAAACUCCUACGGGAGGCAGCAGUGGGGAAUCUUGCGCAAUGGGCGAAAGCCUGACGCAGCCAUGCCGCGUGGAUGAUGAAGGCCUUAGGAUUGUAAAAUCCUUUCACCGGUGAAGAUAAUGACUGUAGCCGGAGAAGAAGCCCCGGCUAACUUCGUGCCAGCAGCCGCGGUAAGAC
rnacentral:rRNA from 1 species